rnacentral:rRNA from 1 species
GAAUCCGCUUAUAAUGGUCUUCGGACAAAUCAUCAUCAAAUUUGAUCUCAAAUCAGGUAGGACUACCCGCUGAACUUAAGCAUAUCAAUAAGCGGAGGAAAAGAAACUAACAAGGAUUCCCCUAGUAACUGCGAGUGAAGCGGGAAAAGCUCAAAUUUAAAAUCUGGUGGUCUUGUGGCCAUCCGAGUUGUAAUCUGGAGAAGCGUUUAUCCGCGUUGGACCGUGUACAAGUCUCCUGGAAGGGAGCAUCGUAGAGGGUGAGAAUCCCGUCUUUGACACGGACUACCAAUGCUUUUGUGAUGCGCUCUCGAAGAGUCGAGUUGUUUGGGAAUGCAGCUCAAAAUGGGUGGUAAAUUCCAUCUAAAGCUAAAUAUUGGCGAGAGACCGAUAGCGAACAAGUACCGUGAGGGAAAGAUGAAAAGCACUUUGGAAAGAGAGUUAAACAGUACGUGAAAUUGUUGAAAGGGAAAUGUUUGAAGUCAGUCGCGUUGGCCGAGACUCAGCCCAGCGCCCGCUCGGUGCACUUCUCGGUCGACGGGUCAGCAUCAAUUUUGACCGCCGGAUAAAGGUUGGGGGAAUGUGGCAUCUUUCGGGAUGUGUUAUAGCCCUCGAUUCGCAUACGGCGAUUGGGAUUGAGGAACUCAGCGCGCCUUUAUGGUCGGGGUAAUCACCCACGUAACGUGCUCAGGAUGCUGGCAUAAUGGCUUUAAGCGACCCGUCUUGAAACACGGACC